rnacentral:sRNA from 2 species
UCACUUGCAGCAUUUGGUCUGAAAUGAGUCUGGAGCGGAGGAACCAAACCCUAGGGGCGUAUCUGUAAAUUACAGAAGGAUAACUCUCUAUCCUAGCCCGUCAGCUAACUUCGUAGGCGUUGAGAGGAGACUGA